AAGCUGUGUAGGAGUCUACACAUACAUGUGUGUGUUUAUCUAAUGUUUAUUUCUGUUCAGGUUUUAGGAGGGGUGCAGAUCCAGGAAUGCCCGAGCCAACAAUCUGGAGUCUGCUUUGGGGAUGAAAGAUGUGGCUGUCCUGCUCUAGAACCAGCCGAUGGACAGAGAAAGUGUUUGAAGAUUCAUACGUUCCAGAGGAUGAGGCGAACGCUUUCACCAGCUGACUCUGUCAGCAUGCUGAUGACAUAGGUUGUACAUACAACAAAAUGGAGUUUAUAUGGACAUAACUUAUUUGGAUUGUGGUGUAAUUAAAUCUAGUUUGAAAUGGA